rnacentral:rRNA from 1 species
AUUGAACGCUGGCGGCAGGCCUAACACAUGCAAGUCGAGCGGAUGAAGGGAGCUUGCUCCUGGAUUCAGCGGCGGACGGGUGAGUAAUGCCUAGGAAUCUGCCUGGUAGUGGGGGAUAACGUCCGGAAACGGGCGCUAAUACCGCAUACGUCCUGAGGGAGAAAGUGGGGGAUCUUCGGACCUCACGCUAUCAGAUGAGCCUAGGUCGGAUUAGCUAGUUGGUGGGGUAAAGGCCUACCAAGGCGACGAUCCGUAACUGGUCUGAGAGGAUGAUCAGUCACACGGGGACAGAGACACGGACCAGACGACGACGGGAGGCAGCAGUGGGGAAUAUGGGACAAGGGGCGGAAGCCUGAUACAGCCAUGACGCGUGUGGGAAGAAGGUCUUCGGAUUGUAAAGCUGUUUAAGUUGUGAGGAAGGGCAGUAAGCUAAUACCUUGCUGUCUUGACGGUACCAACAGAAUAAGCACCGGCUAACUUCGUG